rnacentral:rRNA from 1 species
UACAGAGGGUGCGAGCGUUGUCCGGAAUCACUGGGCGUAAAGGGCGCGUAGGCGGCGCGGUAAGCGUGCGGUGAAAGCCCGGGGCUCAACCCCGGGUCGGCCGUGCGGACUGCCGGGCUGGAGCACUGUAGAGGCAGGUGGAAUUCCGGGUGUAGCGGUGGAAUGCGUAGAGAUCCGGAAGAACACCGGUGGCGAAGGCGGCCUGCUGGGCAGUAGCUGACGCUGAGGAGCGAAAGCGUGGGGAGCGAACAGG